rnacentral:rRNA from 1 species
ACGGGAGGCAGCAGCUAAGAAUAUUCCGCAAUGGGGGGAACCCUGACGGAGCGACGCCGCGUGGACGAGGAAGGCCGGAAGGUUGUAAAGUCCUUUUGGACGCGAGGAAUAACCCGGGGAGGGAAUGCCCCGGGGGUGACUGUAGCGUGUGAAUAAGCACCGGCUAAUUACGUGCCAGCAGCCGCGGUAACACGUAAGGUGCGAGCGUUGUUCGGAAUCAUUGGGCGUAAAGGGCAUGUAGGCGGACCUGCAAGUCUGCGGUGAAAGGCGGGGGCUCAACCCCCGGACAGCCGUGGAAACUGCGGGACUUGAGUCGCCGAGGCGCAGCCGGAAUUCCAGGUGUAGGGGUGAAAUCUGUAGAUAUCUGGAAGAACACCGAUGGCGAAGGCAGGCUGCGAGCGGACGACUGACGCUGAGGUGCGAAGGUGCGGGGAGCAAACAGGAUUAGAUACCCUGGUA